UAGUUCUCGCGAGAGGCUACCCCCCCGCCCCUUUCCCCCACAGCUAGUGAGUGCGCGAACGAGAAAGGAGGAGGGCGCUCCAGGCGAAAGCUCUGCAGACGCCAUUAUCCUCUGUUUCUUCGCUGCACCAACCUCGAAGUCUUGUCUACGUCCCGCUUAUUUGCGGCCUAGAGAUUGGUGUGUCCAUUUAAUACAAGAAAAUGGAAACGGAACAACCGGAGGAAACCUUUCCCAACACUGAAACCAAUGGCGAAUUUGGUAAACGCCCUGCUGAAGAUAUGGAAGAAGAACAAGCUUUUAAAAGAUCUAGAAACACUGAUGAGAUGGUUGAACUGCGCAUCCUGCUUCAGAGCAAGAAUGCUGGGGCAGUGAUUGGGAAAGGAGGCAAGAAUAUUAAGGCUCUCCGUACAGACUACAAUGCCAGUGUUUCAGUCCCAGACAGCAGUGGCCCCGAGCGCAUAUUGAGUAUCAGUGCCGAUAUUGAAACAAUUGGAGAAAUUCUGAAGAAAAUCAUCCCUACCUUAGAAGAGGGCCUGCAGUUGCCAUCACCCACUGCAACCAGCCAGCUCCCGCUCGAAUCUGAUGCUGUGGAAUGCUUAAAUUACCAGCACUAUAAAGGAAGCGACUUUGACUGCGAGUUGAGAUUGUUGAUUCAUCAGAGUCUGGCAGGAGGAAUUAUUGGGGUCAAAGGUGCUAAAAUCAAAGAACUUCGGGAGAACACUCAGACAACAAUCAAGCUUUUCCAGGAAUGUUGUCCUCAGUCCACUGACAGAGUCGUUCUCAUUGGAGGAAAACCUGAUAGGGAUGUAGAGUGUAUAAAGAUCAUCCUUGAUCUCAUAUCAGAGUCGCCCAUUAAAGGACGUGCUCAGCCUUAUGAUCCCAAUUUUUAUGAUUAAACGUAUGAUUAUGGUGGCUUUACAAUGAUGUUUGAUGAUCGCCGUGGACGUCCUGUGGGAUUUCCCAUGCGGGGAAGAGGUGGUUUUGACAGAAUGCCUCCUGGUCGAGGAGGGCGUCCCAUGCCUCCAUCUAGAAGAGAUUAUGACGAUAUGAGCCCUCGUCGAGGACCUCCUCCCCCUCCUCCUGGACGAGGUGGCCGGGGGGGUAGCAGAGCUAGGAAUCUUCCUCUUCCACCACCACCACCACCUAGAGGAGGAGAUCUAAUGGCUUAUGACAGAAGAGGAAGACCUGGAGACCGCUAUGAUGGCAUGGUUGGUUUCAGUGCUGAUGAAACCUGGGACUCUGCAAUUGAUACAUGGAGCCCAUCAGAGUGGCAGAUGGCUUAUGAACCACAGGGUGGAUCUGGAUAUGAUUAUUCCUAUGCAGGGGGUCGUGGCUCAUACGGUGAUCUUGGUGGACCUAUUAUUACUACACAAGUAACUAUUCCCAAAGAUUUGGCUGGAUCUAUUAUUGGCAAAGGUGGUCAGCGGAUUAAACAAAUCCGUCAUGAAUCAGGAGCUUCGAUCAAAAUUGAUGAGCCUUUAGAAGGGUCCGAAGAUCGGAUCAUUACCAUUACAGGAACACAGGACCAGAUACAGAAUGCACAGUAUUUGCUGCAGAACAGUGUGAAGCAGUAUUCUGGAAAGUUUUUCUAAGACUAGUGAAGAACUGAAGGAGUCCUGCAUCUUUUUUUUUUUUAUCUGCUUCUGUUUAAAAAGCCAACAUUCCUCUGCUUCAUAGGUGUUCUGCAUUUGAGGUGUAGUGAAAUCUUUGCUGUUCACCAGAUGUAAUGUUUUAGUUCUUACAAACAGGGUUGGGGGGUGGGGGAGGGCGUGCAAAAACUAACAUUGAAAUUUUGAAACAGCAGCAGAGUGAGUGAAUUUUAAUUUUUGUUCAUUGUUGGUGGUUUAAAAAAAAGGGGGGACAGGGAAAAAAAGUAACAAUAGUCCAUAUGUCCCUGGCAUCUAUUCAGAGCAGUGUGCAGAAUGUAAUGCUCUUUUGUAAGAAACGUUUUAUGAUUUUUAAAAUAAAUUUAGUGAACCUA
rnacentral:lncRNA from 1 species